AUUGAACGCUGGCGGCAUGCUUUACACAUGCAAGUCGAACGGUAACAGGCCGCAAGGUGCUGACGAGUGGCGAACGGGUGGGUAAUGCAUCGGAACGUGCCCAGUCGUGGGGGAUAACUACUCGAAAGAGUAGCUAAUACCGCAUACGAUCUAUGGAUGAAAGCGGGGGACCGUAAGGCCUCGCGCGAUUGGAGCGGCCGAUGUCAGAUUAGGUAGUUGGUGGGGUAAAGGCUCACCAAGCCAACGAUCUGUAGCUGGUCUGAGAGGACGACCAGCCACACUGGGACUGAGACACGGCCCAGACUCCUACGGGAGGCAGCAGUGGGGAAUUUUGGACAAUGGGCGCAAGCCUGAUCCAGCAAUGCCGCGUGCAGGAAGAAGGCCUUCGGGUUGUAAACUGCUUUUGUACGGAACGAAACGGCUCUGGUUAAUACCCGGGGCUAAUGACGGUACUGUAAGAAUAAGCACCGGCUAACUACGUG
rnacentral:rRNA from 1 species